rnacentral:rRNA from 1 species
GACAGAGGAUGCAAGCGUUAUCCGGAAUGAUUGGGCGUAAAGCGUCCGCAGGUGGCAAUGUAAGUCUGCUGUUAAAGAGUCUAGCUCAACUAGAUAAGAGCAGUGGAAACUACAUAGCUAGAGUACGUUCGGGGCAGAGGGAAUUCCUGGUGUAGCGGUGAAAUGCGUAGAGAUCAGGAAGAACACCGGUGGCGAAGGCGCUCUGCUAGGCCGUAACUGACACUGAGGGACGAAAGCUAGGGGAGCGAAUGGG